rnacentral:rRNA from 1 species
UACGUAGGGUGCAAGCGUUUUCCGGAAUUAUUGGGCGUAAAGAGCUCGUAGGCGGUCUGUCGCGUCGGCUGUGAAAACUCGGGGCUCAACCCCGAGCCUGCAGUCGAUACGGGCAGACUAGAGUGCUGUAGGGGAGACUGGAAUUCCUGGUGUAGCAGUGAAAUGCGUAGAUAUCAGGAGGAAUACCGAUGGCGAAGGCAGGUCUCUGGGCUGACACUGACGCUCAUGCACGAAAGCGUGGGGAGCAAACAGG